GAUGAACGCUGGCGGCGUGCCUAAUACAUGCAAGUCGAGCGAACGGACGAGAAGCUUGCUUUUCUGAUGUUAGCGGCGGACGGGUGAGUAACACGUGGAUAACCUACCUAUAAGACUGGGAUAACUUCGGGAAACCGGAGCUAAUACCGGAUAAUAUUUUGAACCGCAUGGUUCAAAAGUGAAAGACGGUCUUGCUGUCACUUAUAGAUGGAUCCGCGCUGCAUUAGCUAGUUGGUAAGGUAACGGCUUACCAAGGCAACGAUGCAUAGCCGACCUGAGAGGGUGAUCGGCCACACUGGAACUGAGACACGGUCCAGACUCCUACGGGAGGCAGCAGUAGGGAAUCUUCCGCAAUGGGCGAAAGCCUGACGGAGCAACGCCGAGUGAGUGAUGAAGGUCUUCGGAUCGUAAAACUCUGUUAUUAGGGAAGAACAUAUGUGUAAGUAACUGUGCACAUCUUGACGGUACCUAAUCAGAAAGCCACGGCUAACUACGUG
rnacentral:rRNA from 1 species